rnacentral:rRNA from 1 species
AUUGAACGCUGGCGGCAGGCUUAACACAUGCAAGUCGAGCGGAAAGGCCCUUAUGGGUACUCGAGCGGCGGACGGGUGAGUAACACGUAGGAACCUACCCUCAAGUGGGGGAUAACCUAGGGAAACUUAGGCUAAUACCGCAUAAUCUCUGCGGAGGAAAGCUGGGGUGACCUGGCGCUUGGGGAUGGGCCUACGGCCUAUCAGCUAGUUGGUGGGGUAAUGGCCUACCAAGGCGACGACGGGUAGCUGGCCUGAGAGGGUGGUCAGCCACACUGGCACUGAGACACGGGCCAGACUCCUACGGGAGGCAGCAUG